GAAAACAAACAUAAGUAUCAUUUAGUUGCCUGGGAGAGAGUGUGCAGACCAAAAGAUUUAGGUGGUUUGGGGAUUUUAGAUUUGGAUUUUAUGAAUAUUGCACUGCUAUCCAAAUGGUUGUGGAAGCUUUUUAACGAAGAAAGCUUAUGGCAAAGAUUGUUGUGGGAUAAAUAUGUUAAGAACUCCACCCUCGGACAGGUUAAUAAGAAACAAGGUGACUCGCAUUUCUGGCAGGGAUUGCUAAGAUGCAAACCUUUGUUUUUGAACUGUUGCAGAUUUAAGGUGGGAAAUGGUAAGAAAACCAGAUUUUGGGAAGAUUUAUGGCUGGGGGAACAGAGGCUUUCUGACGCUUUUCCUGGUUUAUAUAAUAUCUCCCUAAAUCAACACAUUACAGUACAUGAAGUUAUUUCCUCCAAAAUGUCUAUUCUUCGUUUUAGAAGGGCUUUGGUGGGGCAAAGAGAAAUUCAAUGGCGGGACAUGACUGAAUUGUGUAGACUAGUGAAGUUAACCGAGGAGAGUGAUAAAUUACACUAG
rnacentral:rRNA from 1 species